rnacentral:rRNA from 1 species
UAUGUGAUCGUCUCUCGCAUAUCAAUAAGCGGAGGAAAAGAAACUAACAAGGAUUCCCCUAGUAACGGCGAGUGAAGCGGGAAGAGCUCAAAUUUGAAAUCUUAAAGGGUUUCCCUUUACGAAUUGUAGUUUAAAGAAGUGUUUUUCUGUUGAGGUUUUGGUAAAAGUUCUUUGGAAUAGGACAUCAUAGAGGGUGAGAAUCCCGUAUUUGACCUUUACUUUCAACUUUGUGAUACACUUUCAAAGAGUCGGAUUGUUUGGGAAUGCAGUCCAAAAUGGGUGGUAAAUUUCAUCUAAAGCUAAAUAUUGGCGAGAGACCGAUAGCGAACAAGUACCGUGAGGGAAAGAUGAAAAGAACUUUGAAAAGAGAGUUAAACAGUACGUGAAAUUGUCAAAAGGGAAGCGUUUGACACCAGUGUUGUUUUUCUGAAAAUCAAUUAAAGAACUGUUUAUGCUAAGCUGUUUAGACUUUAUCAGCUAUCUGUUUAGUUUUGAGCUUUUCUUUAAUGCACUUUUCAGUUAACAAGUCAACAUCAAUUUCUUUUGCUGUAAAAAAGCUUGAGGAAGGUGGCUUGAGAUUCGUCUUAAGUGUUUAUAGCCUCUUGCCUAUGCAGUCGGAGAGAUUGAGGUCUGCAGCGUAGAUCCUUCGGGGCUAAGUGCAUUUGUGCUAAGUUAUAGCAUUUUAUAGACAACUUGUUGACUAUGAUUUGUCUUGUAGCUUACUCGCUUAUGUUAUUUUACCUACGCUUAGGAUGUUGAGCGCAUGUCUCUCUCU